rnacentral:rRNA from 1 species
GACGAACGCUGGCGGCGUGCUUAACACAUGCAAGUCGAACGGAAAGGCCCUGCUUUUGUGGGGUGCUCGAGUGGCGAACGGGUGAGUAACACGUGAGUAACCUGCCCUUGACUUUGGGAUAACUUCAGGAAACUGGGGCUAAUACCGGAUCGGAGCUCCUGCUGCAUGGUGGGGGUUGGAAAGUUUCGGCGGUUGGGGAUGGACUCGCGGCUUAUCAGCUUGUUGGUGGGGUAGUGGCUUACCAAGGCUUUGACGGGUAGCCGGCCUGAGAGGGUGACCGGCCACAUUGGGACUGAGAUACGGCCCAGACUCCUACGGGAGGCAGCAGGGGGGAAUAUUGCACAAUGGGCGGAAGCCUGAUGCAGCAACGCCGCGUGCGGGAUGACGGCCUGCGGGUUGUAAACCGCUUUCGCCUGUGACGAAGCGUGAGUGACGGUAAUGGGUAAAGAAGCACCGGCUAACUACGUG